GGGUUGUGAGGUUAAGCGACUAAGCGUACACGGUGGAUGCCCUGGCAGUCAGAGGCGAUGAAGGACGUGCUAAUCUGCGAAAAGCGUCGGUAAGGUGAUAUGAACCGUUAUAGCCGGCGAUGUCCGAAUGGGGAAACCCAGUGCAAUUCGUUGCACUAUCGUUAACUGAAUACAUAGGUUAACGAGGCGAACCGGGGGAACUGAAACAUCUAAGUACCCCGAGGAAAAGAAAUCAACCGAGAUUCCCCCAGUAGCGGCGAGCGAACGGGGAGCAGCCCGGAGUCUGAAUCAGCUUGUGUGUUAGUGGAAGCGUCUGGAAAGUCGCAGGGUACAGGGUGAUACUCCCGUACACUAAAACACACAGGUUGUGAACUCGAAGAGUAGGGCGGGACACGUGGUAUCCUGUCUGAAUAUGGGGGGACCAUCCUCCAAGGCUAAAUACUCCUGACUGACCGAUAGUGAACCAGUACCGUGAGGGAAAGGCGAAAAGAACCCCGGCGAGGGGAGUGAAAAAGAACCUGAAACCGUGUACGUACAAGCAGUAGGAGCCCACUAGUUGGGUGACUGCGUACCUUUUGUAUAAUGGGUCAGCGACUUAUAUUCUGUAGCAAGGUUAACCGUAUAGGGGAGCCGCAGGGAAACCGAGUCUUAACUGGGCGUUAAGUUGCAGGGUAUAGACCCGAAACCCGGUGAUCUAGCCAUGGGCAGGUUGAAGGUUGGGUAACACUAACUGGAGGACCGAACCGACUAAUGUUGAAAAAUUAGCGGAUGACUUGUGGCUGGGGGUGAAAGGCCAAUCAAACCGGGAGAUAGCUGGUUCUCCCCGAAAGCUAUUUAGGUAGCGCCUCGUGAACUCAUCUUCGGGGGUAGAGCACUGUUUCGGCUAGGGGGUCAUCCCGACUUACCAACCCGAUGCAAACUACGAAUACCGAAGAAUGUUAUCACGGGAGACACACGGCGGGUGCUAACGUCCGUCGUGAAGAGGGAAACAACCCAGACCGCCAGCUAAGGUCCCAAAGUCAUGGUUAAGUGGGAAACGAUGUGGGAAGGCCCAGACAGCCAGGAUGUUGGCUUAGAAGCAGCCAUCAUUUAAAGAAAGCGUAAUAGCUCACUGGUCGAGUCGGCCUGCGCGGAAGAUGUAACGGGGCUAAACCAUGCACCGAAGCUGCGGCAGCGACGCUUAUGCGUUGUUGGGUAGGGGAGCGUUCUGUAAGCCGUUGAAGGUGGCCUGUGAGGGUUGCUGGAGGUAUCAGAAGUGCGAAUGCUGACAUAAGUAACGAUAAUGCGGGUGAAAAACCCGCACGCCGGAAGACCAAGGGUUCCUGUCCAACGUUAAUCGGGGCAGGGUGAGUCGACCCCUAAGGCGAGGCCGAAAGGCGUAGUCGAUGGGAAACAGGUUAAUAUUCCUGUACUCGGUGUUACUGCGAAGGGGGGACGGAGAAGGCUAUGUUGGCCGGGCGACGGUUGUCCCGGUUUAAGCAUGUAGGCGGAUGUUCCAGGUAAAUCCGGAACGUUAUUAACGCUGAGGUGUGAUGACGAGGCACUACGGUGCUGAAGUGACAAAUGCCCUGCUUCCAGGAAAAGCCUCUAAGCAUCAGGUAACAUCAAAUCGUACCCCAAACCGACACAGGUGGUCAGGUAGAGAAUACCAAGGCGCUUGAGAGAACUCGGGUGAAGGAACUAGGCAAAAUGGUGCCGUAACUUCGGGAGAAGGCACGCUGAUGGUAAGUGAAGUGACUUGCUCAUGGAGCUGAAAUCAGUCGAAGAUACCAGCUGGCUGCAACUGUUUAUUAAAAACACAGCACUGUGCAAACACGAAAGUGGACGUAUACGGUGUGACGCCUGCCCGGUGCCGGAAGGUUAAUUGAUGGGGUUAUCCGUAAGGAGAAGCUCUUGAUCGAAGCCCCGGUAAACGGCGGCCGUAACUAUAACGGUCCUAAGGUAGCGAAAUUCCUUGUCGGGUAAGUUCCGACCUGCACGAAUGGCGUAAUGAUGGCCAGGCUGUCUCCACCCGAGACUCAGUGAAAUUGAACUCGCUGUGAAGAUGCAGUGUACCCGCGGCAAGACGGAAAGACCCCGUGAACCUUUACUAUAGCUUGACACUGAACACUGGUCCUUGAUGUGUAGGAUAGGUGGGAGGCUUUGAAGUGUGGACGCCAGUCUGCAUGGAGCCAUCCUUGAAAUACCACCCUUUAAUGGCUGGUGUUCUAACGUGGGCCCGUAAUCCGGGUUGCGGACAGUGUCUGGUGGGUAGUUUGACUGGGGCGGUCUCCUCCUAAAGAGUAACGGAGGAGCACGAAGGUCAGCUAAUCCUGGUCGGACAUCAGGAGGUUAGUGCAAUGGCAUAAGCUGGCUUGACUGCGAGCGUGACGGCGCGAGCAGGUGCGAAAGCAGGUCAUAGUGAUCCGGUGGUUCUGAAUGGAAGGGCCAUCGCUCAACGGAUAAAAGGUACUCCGGGGAUAACAGGCUGAUACCGCCCAAGAGUUCAUAUCGACGGCGGUGUUUGGCACCUCGAUGUCGGCUCAUCACAUCCUGGGGCUGAAGUAGGUCCCAAGGGUAUGGCUGUUCGCCAUUUAAAGUGGUACGCGAGCUGGGUUUAGAACGUCGUGAGACAGUUCGGUCCCUAUCUGCCGUGGGCGCUGGAGAAUUGAGGGGGGCUGCUCCUAGUACGAGAGGACCGGAGUGGACGCAUCACUGGUGUUCGGGUUGUCAUGCCAAUGGCAUUGCCCGGUAGCUAAAUGCGGAAGAGAUAAGUGCUGAAAGCAUCUAAGCACGAAACUUGCCCCGAGAUGAGUUCUCCCUGACUCCUUGAGAGUCCUGAAGGAACGUUGAAGACGACGACGUUGAUAGGCCGGGUGUGUAAGCGCAGCGAUGCGUUGAGCUAACCGGUACUAAUGAACCGUGAGGCUUAACCUUACAACGCCGAAG
rnacentral:rRNA from 1 species